rnacentral:ncRNA from 2 species
AUAAUUCUUCGGGGCUGGGUGAAAUUCCCGACCGGCGGUGAUGAGAAUAUCUCUAAGCCCGUGACCCACGUCUAUUUGAUGUGGUGGAUUUGGUGAAAAACCAAAGCCGACAGUGAAAGUCUGGAUGGGAGAAGAAUAGG